rnacentral:rRNA from 1 species
GGACUGAUAUGUCGGUCGUGCCUCGGUACGUACUGGUAUUUUUGGUUUCUCCCUUCUGACGAACCUUGAUGUCAUUAAUUUGGUGUCUUGGGAAAUCAGGACUGUUACUUUGAAAAAAUUAGAGUGUUUAAAGCAGGCUCACGCUUGAAUACAUUAGCAUGGAAUAAUGAAAUAGGACGUUUGAUUCUAUUUUGUUGGUUUCUAGGAUUGACGUAAUGAUUAAUAGGGAUAGUUGGG